rnacentral:rRNA from 1 species
AGUGUAGGCGGCUACGUAAGUCGGAUGUGAAAGCCCUGGGCUUAACCUGGGAAUUGCAUUCGAAACUGCGUGGCUAGAGUUUGAUAGAGGUAAGUGGAAUUCCGGGUGUAGCGGUGAAAUGCGUAGAUAUCCGGAGGAACAUCAGUGGCGAAGGCGGCUUACUGGAUCAAAACUGACGCUGAUGCUCGAAAGCGUGGGGAGCAAACA